rnacentral:misc_RNA from 1 species
UGGGUUUGACAUCUGGCGAAUUUUCUGUUUCCAGAAAAUUCGCCAGAUGUCAAACCCAGGUAAGGUUCUUCGCGUAGCAUCGAAUUGAACCACAUGCUCCACCGCUUGUGCGGGCCCCCGUCAAUUCCUUUGAGUUUUAAUCUUGCGACCGUACUUCCCAGGCGGGACACUUAAUGCGUUAGCGGCGGCACCGAGGGAGUGGAUACCCCCGACACCUAGUGCCCAUCGUUUACGGCGUGGACUAC